rnacentral:lncRNA from 1 species
ACCGAAUCUACUGGCAAGGUGGUCUACUUCACCGCAUUGAUGCCUUACUGUGUUCUUAUUAUCUACUUGGUCCGUGGCCUCACACUCCAUGGAGCCACCAAUGGCCUGAUGUACAUGUUCACACCUAAGGUAAGAGCUGCAAAGGAAGGGGACUGUUCCUUUCUGGGAUGCCCGGGAGGAAAGAGAAAGUGGGUAAGAUACGUAAUCAGCAGGGCCAGUGUGAGCUCAAGACUGGGCCAAAGGUUAUGGACAUCCUGGGUGCCCAGACUUCUUCCUCAACUAUGCGUUCUGGAAAUGCAAUCCUUUGUCCAUUUCCUCCUGCUACCCUCACUGCCCCUUAUGACUAGUGCCUGUGCCUCCAUUCUGGUCUCCCUGUUCCAGGUCUCACCCAUAGCCUUGU